rnacentral:rRNA from 1 species
UACGUAGGGUGCAAGCGUUAAUCGGAAUUACUGGGCGUAAAGCGUGCGCAGGCGGUUUUGUAAGACUGUCGUGAAAUCCCCGGGCUUAACCUGGGAAUUGCGAUGGUGACUGUAAGGCUAGAGUUUGGCAGAGGGGGGUAGAAUUCCACGUGUAGCAGUGAAAUGCGUAGAGAUGUGGAGGAACACCGAUGGCGAAGGCAGCCCCCUGGGUCAAGACUGACGCUCAUGCACGAAAGCGUGGGGAGCAAACAGG